rnacentral:lncRNA from 1 species
CCAGGGCUCCCACUGCAGCAGCUCGGGGGACCCCGCUGAGUACAACCUGCGCUCACGCACCGUGCUGUGCGGGACAUGUGGGCAGCCUGCUGACAAGGCUGCCAGUGGCUCAGGAGCCCAGGUGGGCGGAUCCAUCUCCUCUGGCUCUUCUGCCUCCAGUGUCACAGUCACUCGAAGCUUCCGCAGUGUGGGGGGCAGUGGGGGUGGCAGCUUCGGGGACAACCUAGUCACCCGCUCCUACCUCCUGGGCAACUCCAGUCCCCGGACCCAGAGCUCCCAGAACUGCAGCAUCAUGUAAUCUGGGACCUGCCAGGCAGGGGUGGGGGCAGAGGCCACCUGCUCCCUCUUCACCACAUGCCACCUCCUGCCCUGUUCCUUAUGAGAGCAGGUCUGAAGCCAAAGAAAACUAUCCCCUGCCUUUGGGUGUUUUUCUUUUUUCCUUCUAUUUUUUUUCUAAGAGAAGUUAUUUUCUACAGUGGUUUUAUACUGAAGGAAAAACACAAGC